UACGUAGGGGGCAAGCGUUGUCCGGAAUUAUUGGGCGUAAAGAGCGUGUAGGCGGCCAGAUAAGUCCGCUGUGAAAUCUCGAGGCUCAACUUCGAGCUGUCGGUGGAAACUAUCUGGCUAGAGUCCGGAAGAGGAGAAUGGAAUUCCUGGUGUAGCGGUGAAAUGCGCAGAUAUCAGGAGGAACACCGGUGGCGAAGGCGGGUCUCUGGGCCGAUACUGACGCUGAGGAGCGAAAGCUAGGGGAGCGAACGGG
rnacentral:rRNA from 1 species